rnacentral:lncRNA from 1 species
UCAGGGUUUCAUAUCGAUGGUCUCUGAUGCCUAAUUGCCCAUCGGAUUUGGACUCAAUAUUUAUGAGAGGUUUAAUUAGUGAUUUGAUCACUAAUUAACUCAAUUUGAUUGAGUAAUUAUUUUUAGAUCAAGUCCAAUUGAAUUGGAUUCAGUUUGGAUUGACCCGAUUAGGUUAAGUGUUGAUCUAAUCGCUAAGGUGGUUUAGUCCC